rnacentral:rRNA from 1 species
GAUGAACGCUGGCGGCGUGCCUAACACAUGCAAGUCGAGCGAACAGACGAGGAGCUUGCUCCUCUGACGUUAGCGGCGGACGGGUGAGUAACACGUGGAUAACCUACCUAUAAGACUGGGAUAACUUCGGGAAACCGGAGCUAAUACCGGAUAAUAUAUUGAACUGCAUGGGUCAAUAGUGAAAGACGGUUUUGCGGUCACUUAUAGAUGGAUCCGCGCCGCAUUAGCUAGUUGGUUAGGUAACGGCUUACCAAGGCAACGAUGCGUAGCCGACCUGAGAGGGUGGACGGCCACACUGGAACUGAGACACGGUCCAGACUCCUACGGGAGGCAGCGGUAGGGAAUCUUCCGCAAUGGGCGAAAGCCUGACGGAGCAACGCCGCGUGAGUGAUGAAGGUCUUCGGAUCGUAAAACUCUGUUAUUAGGGAAGAACAAAUGUGUAAGUAACUAUGCACGUCUUGACGGUACCUGGUCAAAAAGCCACGGCUAACUACGUG